UCCAUGCCGUUCCCUUGGGUCCAGUUGCUGUCACCAGAGGUCAAAGCACAGUGCUGCCCUUCCACUCCCUGUGAGGAGCUGCAGCCUCCAUGAGGCCUCCCCUCAGUUGUAGUUGAACAAUUUGGGGCUCUGUGGACACCAGCAGUCUGAAGCAACAUACUACAGUUGCAGUGUUUUUAGCCUGUGUCCUGCCUGUUAGCCGUCACAGUGAGUUACACAGAGCUUUGCCUUCAGCUGGGUGAGAUCAGGCUACUCAGCUCUGCCUCAUAGAGUGGAGACAAACAACAAUUAUUCCCUCUAGCUGCAGUAGAGGAAAGCUGGACCUCUGAGAUAAAUAGGGCUGAUUUUUGUUUUUGUUGUCAGAGCCAAUUCAGUGCUGGGGUAGUAGCAACUGCAGUUAUCCUUACAUGGCUAAAAUGUACCCGAGAGUAAACCAUUCCUUUUCCUUCUGCCAAUGGUUAAACAAGUUACACACGUCAUUUGUAGGAAAGUAGAAGACAGACAUUUUGCAAAGGAAUAGCUGCACUAUAAAGUCUCAUACUCUUUAUUAUGAUAGAGAUUAUUUUACAUACACAGAACCAAAUGUAUGAUUCUUGGUUUUAGAGGUUCUUCCUCAGCUAUCAAGUAAGUUUUCCUUCUCACUGUUAAUAAAUAGUGUUUUGUUGUGCUGGCAUUUUCUAUUUUUGUCUUGUUCUUCUGGGUUUUUCUGAGAUUUUGUCAUGUAGGCUGCACUGUGACAAGACCUGGAGCACACUCCUGAAGUGAACCUCACCCUCUAACUACUGCCCUGCUGUGCUGCCACAAGGCUCUUCCCAGCAUACUGUCUGCUUGCCUUAAACCAAAGAGUCACCAUCCCUGGAUAAAGCUACACACAGGUCCAGCCAAACCAGCCUGACCUCUUCAUACUGAAUAACCUUGAACAGUAACCUAGCUAGGUUAACAAUGAUCUGUGUUGGUUAUACUUUCUACUGUAUGAAAAGGAAAAGCUAUUCUGUAUUUUUUCACCAAGUUGCUACAAAUAAUCACCUGAAAAUGAACAGGUGAACUUCUAGAUUGCCUUCUAGAAACAGCUCAUGUAAAACAUGGGACUUCAGAAGGAAAAGGGAGAGGAGGGCAUAUGGACAGCUUUUGUCUAAUGUAUGUUUAGGAGUGCAUCUCCAUCAAGAUGAAAUGAGGAGGUGGAGUAUAAUUAAUGAGAGACUUAAAACACUCAGAGCUCCUCAUAUGAGGCAUAAGUUGAGGCAGGACAAAGUGUGGAGAAGGGAUGAGAUAAGGGACUUCCAGAAGGGAGCAAACAACAAGCUACAAAGUUGAGUUUCCAAAAAAUGCAACAAACAAACAAACCCCCAAAACUACAAACCAACCCAAAAAACAACAAAUGCAUUGCUGUUCAGGUGGUAGUUUAAUGAAAGUCAAAAUUUAAUGAAAUUCCCAACAUACCCAGCAUUCCCAGCAAAAUUUAAUGAAAAAAUUAGUGCUCAAGCCAAAGUAUGAAUUUACCACUGAGUCAACAAAAUGACGACAUACUCUGAGUCUAGCUCACUGAUACACAAGUGAGCUCCAGUCCCUUGGGCUGCUUUAAUUGCAUAAUGAUCAUGGGCAACGGGGCUCAAGGUAAUUUAACAACAGAACAGGAUACUCCUGGGUGAGUUAUUAGAACCAACCUUCUAUUCAUGUGUUCAUUAACUAGUAAUAAUGAUAUUUCUGGCAUUAAUGCAUGUGGCCCAAGAGGAUGACCGAGUCUUAUGAGCACAGGAAGAGCAUUGGAAGUCCUAAGGCUUUCACAUACAUGCACAAAUACACACUUCAUGAAAAAUAAACCACUUAAAAUUGAUGUACUUUUAACCUGAGAUAUAUUUUAAUGAAAUCUCCUUCAAGCUAUGUCCCAAACCUUUAAACCACCUUAUACUUUUCUUUAUCUAAUGCUGACAAUGUGGGAAAUUCUUGCUUAAGUUAAAAGCUGGGAAUUCUGUUCUCAGGAUGAAGUUUCUGGUGACAUGGCUGUGUCUGCCAGAAAUAGAGAAAGAAAUAAUUUCUUUCUACGUCUCUCAGAGUAGGUGGUGUUGGCCUAAAGCGUAGAUUUACAGCAGCUGCCCGGGAAAAUAAUGCCAUUACCUGCUGUGCUUAUAGCAAGGCUGAGCUGCCUAUAGACCCUGGGGAUGUAGAAGAACUAAAUGGGUGAAAAUAUUGUUUUUAUUUUUCACGCAAAUACUGCAUUUCUUGAACACAAUUGUAUUACUACAAAUACACCAGAAGCAUCUCUGUAGAAGGGAUGUAAAAGUGGCUCAGGACAGAGAAACCUGGACACAUUGAAGAGUCCCACAUAUGUAAUGUAAAUCCAUUUAAACCUUAGUUAGCUUUAACUAUGUGUAGGUGCGAAGAGAAAUAUAUUUCGGAUGCUUCUACAAUUGCUAGCUAGAGCCCUGAAUUACAUUAGCAGAUAGUUUCUUUUCCCCAAAGAAUGAAGCUUUUUUUCUGCCACAGUUACUACAUGAAAUGAUCAUCUUUUUAAAUAGCUCUACACUGAUGCAUUUUGUCUGUUUAGGAUGUGAUAUUUCUGCAAUAUUUUCUCUAAACUGCUGCAACUGAGGUGUCCAGAGUGCAGUCAUUUUGCUGCCAGCAUUAAAUUGACAAAGGAUGACAGAUAAAAACAUUACAUGUUGAAACAACUCAACUGUCUGUCAUUGGAGAAUUGUGUAAUUAAUCUCUUUGAUUCCUAUUUAGUUUCUGAUAACUGCUAUUAAGAGGAUAGUUUAAUCUCAGGUUUUUUUUGUUUGUUUGUUUUGGUAACAAGUUUAUUAGAGUUUUACUAAAAAGAAGCAAUGAACUAAAAAAGAAUAUUUUGAGAUGAUUAACUUUGCUGCUUUCAGACUACAUUACUGUGAGUCAGUCAUGUUGGGACAAUAGCUCUGUACUGCUUCACUGAGAGGCUGGGAGAUAAAAACAUUUCACUGUAUCUGAAGCAUGCAUUCUUCUUUAUGGUUCUCACAUUCAAACUUUGUGUUCCUUAACCCUUUUUGCAUGCAAGGUGAGAAGUAUGUGCAACAGAACGUUAUUCCUGUCAUUUUGAGACCCUCAUCCAGUUGCAAACCUGAAAUAUUUCAGUGGUUUAACUGAGAGUAUUGCACACAGAAUAGGAUGUGGAUUAUUCCUGGCCAUUCUGUUUUCUGGCAUACACAACAAAAGUCAUAAUAAGGUUUUUAAGAUCAUUCUAUACUCCCUCUGCAUGAAAGACUUUCACUUUGUAUGGAGAUGCCACCUACCAGAAAGGCCAGGUCCCUCAUCAGGAAGGCAGAAUUGGAAUAUGCCUUCCAAACAUGCAGAAGAAUCACAUUACAGUCACACUGCUCUAUGAAAUGUAGCAGCUACACCAUGCACCAUGCUGCACCAUGAGAGGAAACCUCAUCAUUUUUUGAUGAUGAGAUAUGUUGACUACUACUUUGAUGAUGAGGUAUGUUGACUACUACUGUUGACUUCCACUAUGGAGUCAACAACAAAUUAGGGCAGAAAUUUCUUCAGCACACACUCCAGCUGCUGUUCUGCAAGAAGAGUGUCUAGUCACAUGAAAUAGCUGAAGGUAAGGUUUCAACAAGAGAGAAAUCUGAGGAAUUAAAUAACUGCAAUAUUGAGUAGAUGUAAUUGGAGAAUAGCCAUCUUGCUCCAUGGGGACUCAAAGGGAAAUGAAUGAAGAAUGAAAGAACGGAAAAGAAGAAACAGAAAAAAAAUGAAAAGACAAUAACUGGCUGUUCUUGUCCCUGUCUUGGAUUUGCCUAUGAUCUGACCUAUUAAUGUCAGGAGUCUGUUUUAGACCACAACACCUGCAUCAAAAUAUCAGCAAGCACAAAAAGAACCCUGGAGAUCAAAACACAGAGGGAGACAGCAAGAAGAGAAUUAUCUUCCAGUACAUUAAAAGCAGACAUCCUCUGGAAUUCUCCGCUGCUCUGUCCCUGGCAGUGCCUAGUUCCCCUCUGUCUGCAGAACACAGCAUCAUGUAAUGGGAUUUACCUCCGCUGACAGCAUAAUUUGAGAAGAGAAUGAAUUACUUUCUACAAAAUAGGUUCAGCAAAAGGAUUGUUUCCUGUGAAUACUUUAAAAUAGCAUCACAGUUAACAAAGUUGCAUAAUGUUGCUCCUGUGAUUUUCUGCGUUAGCUGAUAUAAUAAAAUAAUAAUGAAAACUACAUUUUCAAUAUGAAUUUCCAGACUAUAUUCUAACAGGUUAAAAUUCAUAAAAUCUUUAAAAUUACAAAUAAUUUUGUGAGCUCACAGUGGCUGAAUACCUAAUGAGACUCAGCAGACAACUCAAUUUAAUGUAUGACUUGCUUUUCCUUUUAAUCAUUCAGCUCCAACAAUUUUAUCAUAGAUUUUUUUUCUUCAGAACGUUGGAACACUGAAUUAGCUGCAGCUGCAUUGAAUAGAGACUGCAUUAGAGUAACUGUUUAUCUUUAAAUGGAAACUGAAAAAAGUCCAGGUGAGUAGCAUUUAUGAUAGAAAAAUGCCUGAUUUCAAAGAAGAUAUUUGGUGGGUUAGAAUGACAUCUAGUGACUAGUUCAGGUUCUAGUGCUGAGAUAUAAAAAUAAGGAAGAAAAAAAGCAACCAAAACCAAACCCACAAAACAGAACUCUGCUUUCCUCUGAUGAUUCUUUCUUUGCUGCCUCUUAUGAAAGACUUACUGUAAAGGAAGACAUAAAUGUAAAUAACAGCAAACCAAAUCCAGAAACAAUGAAACUGGAAGGAAAACCACUGAAUUAAAGGCAAAAAAGGCAUUGGUGUAAGGGGAAAAAGCAGGAAAAUGUGUAAUGUUUCUGAGACUUCGGGAAUUCAAAAUUAAGACCCCAUCCCACUCUUUAAUACAGAUUUAUCAUUCAGGAAAUAACAUCUCUCUUUUAUAUGUGUUCUACCCAGGGAAAUAAAUGUUAAGAGACCCUUGAAAGAAGUUUAUGAACAGAAGCUCAUCCAUGUUGUGAAAAUAUAUUUUGAUAGAGACCCAAAGCUCCAACUAUGAAUGAUAACAAGUGGGUCUCUACUGUGUGAUGCAAUCAUUCCACUGAUUCACAGGGCAGUGCAUAACAGGAAAAGAGUUCAUAUGGUAUCUAAACCAACUCUAAUCUUAACAGGAAAAUAUUUGUAUUUGGUUAAUCCUAAGAAUAUGCAAAGAUUUUUUUUCCAUGUCUAAUUCUGGAUAUGCAGCUGCAAGUUGUUGAGAAUGGGGAUUUGAGAGACAAAUGGGAGGGGUGAUAAAGAGAUAAACAUCAGUUCUAUAUCUGAAAGUAGAGAAAAAGUUUUGAAUUGAAUAUUCAAAUUAUUUUGAGUACACAUGAAGUUGAAAAAAGAUUGAACAUUGUUCCCAGUCUCUGGCAAACCUCUGGUGCUCAGAAGGUAGCUGUGGCACCAACAUUGUAUACGGUAACUUUCUGAGUAUGUAAAAUGUGUUUUCUUCUUUGGGUCUGCAGAGCAUUUUGAUCAUACAUCAUUAGUCUUGUCCUUGAUAAAUGUCACCAUCUCCUGUUAUUUGUUUAAUGUUUGGGGAUAUUGGUCACUGAGAGCGGCAGUGAUACUGACACUCCCACUGCCCGGGGUGUGGGGUGACUCGGUGAUCAAAGACUACCACUGCUCUCUUGUCUUUUCAGUACUUCCAGGUUAGAUUUAUCCCCUUUGUGAAAACCAGCUGUAACAAAUACUUAGGAAAACACUCAGGUUCUGCAUCCAGGGGCAGUGAGGAUAAGUAUGUUCAACAUCAUACACUCAGACACAGAAUGACUGGAGCUCCAAUAUGUAUUUCAGACAAAUGUUAUGUAUAGUCAGUGCACGCAAAACCUUUUUCACCCUUAUUCAUUUCAUGAAUGACAGCAAUGAACAUUGUAAUGUAUGAGAGACAAAGAAUUUACAAAUGAAUAGGCAGGAAGAGAGAAAAUGAGAUGUGAAUGGGAAGUCUGGAAGGAAUAUACUGGGAUUGUAUUUUAGUGUUUAGAUUCACUCUGUGUGGGCACUGCUUACAGAGAACCAGUCACAGGAAAGGUCAGAAAAUGUCAGUGUCAGAUAGCAUGAGUCUGAUCAGAUAGGCUUU
ensembl:lncRNA